UUAAGUGACUAAGCGUACACGGUGGAUGCCUAGGCAGUCAGAGGCGAUGAAGGACGUACUAACUUGCGAUAAGCGCAGAUAAGGCAGUAAGAGCCGUUUGAGUCUGCGAUUUCCGAAUGGGGAAACCCAACUGCACAAGCAGUUACUGUUAACUGAAUACAUAGGUUAACAGAGCAAACCGGGGGAACUGAAACAUCUAAGUACCCCGAGGAGAAGAAAUCAACCGAGAUUCCGGUAGUAGCGGCGAGCGAACCUGGAUUAGCCCUUAAGCACUCGGUGAAGUAGGUGAACAAGCUGGAAAGCUUGGCGAUACAGGGUGAUAGCCCCGUAACCGACGCUUCAUCGAGCGUGAAAUCGAGUAGGGCGGGACACGUGAUAUCCUGUCUGAAUAUGGGGGGACCAUCCUCCAAGGCUAAAUACUCCUGACUGACCGAUAGUGAACCAGUACCGUGAGGGAAAGGCGAAAAGAACCCCUGUGAGGGGAGUGAAAUAGAACCUGAAACCGUGUACGUACAAGCAGUAGGAGCACCUUCGUGGUGUGACUGCGUACCUUUUGUAUAAUGGGUCAGCGACUUAUAUUCAGUGGCAAGGUUAACCGUAUAGGGGAGCCGUAGCGAAAGCGAGUCUUAACUGGGCGCUCAGUCUCUGGAUAUAGACCCGAAACCGGGUGAUCUAGCCAUGGGCAGGUUGAAGGUUGAGUAACAUCAACUGGAGGACCGAACCGACUAAUGUUGAAAAAUUAGCGGAUGACUUGUGGCUAGGGGUGAAAGGCCAAUCAAACUCGGAGAUAGCUGGUUCUCCCCGAAAGCUAUUUAGGUAGCGCCUCGGACGAAUACUACUGGGGGUAGAGCACUGUUAAGGCUAGGGGGUCAUCCCGACUUACCAACCCUUUGCAAACUCCGAAUACCAGUAAGUACUAUCCGGGAGACACACGGCGGGUGCUAACGUCCGUCGUGGAGAGGGAAACAACCCAGACCGCCAGCUAAGGUCCCAAAGUAUUGCUAAGUGGGAAACGAUGUGGGAAGGCUCAGACAGCUAGGAUGUUGGCUUAGAAGCAGCCAUCAUUUAAAGAAAGCGUAAUAGCUCACUAGUCGAGUCGGCCUGCGCGGAAGAUGUAACGGGGCUAAGCAAUACACCGAAGCUGCGGCAAUGCCUUUUAGGUAUUGGGUAGGGGAGCGUUCUGUAAGCCGUUGAAGGUGGUCUGUAAGGGCUGCUGGAGGUAUCAGAAGUGCGAAUGCUGACAUGAGUAACGACAAAGGGGGUGAAAAACCUCCUCGCCGGAAGACCAAGGGUUCCUGUCCAACGUUAAUCGGGGCAGGGUGAGUCGACCCCUAAGGUGAGGCCGAAAGGCGUAAUCGAUGGGAAACGGGUUAAUAUUCCCGUACUUCUGACUAUUGCGAUGGGGGGACGGAGAAGGCUAGGUGGGCCAGGCGACGGUUGUCCUGGUUCAAGUGCGUAGGCUUAAGAGUUAGGUAAAUCCGGCUCUUUAUAAGGCUGAGACACGACGUCGAGCUGCUACGGCAGUGAAGUCAUUGAUGCCAUGCUUCCAGGAAAAGCCUCUAAGCUUCAGAUAGUCAGGAAUCGUACCCCAAACCGACACAGGUGGUCGGGUAGAGAAUACCAAGGCGCUUGAGAGAACUCGGGUGAAGGAACUAGGCAAAAUGGUACCGUAACUUCGGGAGAAGGUACGCUCUUGAUGGUGAAGU
rnacentral:rRNA from 2 species